CAAGGCCCCGGGAGCAGGGACCUUUUCUCUCCCACUAUACAGAUGGGGACACUGAGGCGCUGGUUCUCAAUCUAUGAAAAAAUGGGGUGCUGGUAGGGUCUUGUUCCGUCACCCAGACUGGAGUGCAGUAGCAGGAUCACAGCUCAAUGCAACCUAGAAGAAUUCCUGUCGUCCUGUGCUCAUGAGAUCCUCCCUCCUCUUGCAACUGCAUAUGAAUUGACAAUUAUUUCAAUAAAAUUUUCAAUUAAAAAAUUAUGAGGGCUGGGUGCGGUGGCUCACUCCUGUAACCCCAGCACUUUGGGAGGCCGAGGCGGGCGAAUCACGAGGUCAGGAGUUCGAGACCAUCCUGGCUAACACGGUGAAACCCUGUC
rnacentral:lncRNA from 1 species